rnacentral:rRNA from 1 species
UACAGAGGGUGCGAGCGUUAAUCGGAGUUACUGGGCGUAAAGGGCGCGUAGGCGGUGAGAUGAGUGUGAUGUGAAAGCCCUGGGCUUAACCUGGGAAGUGCAUCGCAAACUAUCUGACUGGAGUAUAUGAGAGGGUGGCGGAAUUUCCGGUGUAGCGGUGAAAUGCGUAGAGAUCGGAAGGAACGUCGAUGGCGAAGGCAGCCACCUGGCAUAAUACUGACGCUGAGGCGCGAAAGCGUGGGGAGCGAACAGG